GCGGGGUGGAUCAGUGGCGAACGGGUGAGUAACACGUGAGCAACCUGCCCUGGACUCUGGGAUAAGCGCUGGAAACGGCGUCUAAUACUGGAUAUGAGCUCUCAUCGCAUGGUGGGGGUUGGAAAGAUUUUUUGGUCUGGGAUGGGCUCGCGGCCUAUCAGCUUGUUGGUGAGGUAAUGGCUCACCAAGGCGUCGACGGGUAGCCGGCCUGAGAGGGUGACCGGCCACACUGGGACUGAGACACGGCCCAGACUCCUACGGGAGGCAGCAGUGGGGAAUAUUGCACAAUGGGCGGAAGCCUGAUGCAGCAACGCCGCGUGAGGGAUGACGGCCUUCGGGUUGUAAACCUCUUUUAGCAAGGAAGAAGCUUUUGUGACGGUACUUGCAGAAAAAGCGCCGGCUAACUACGUGCCAGCAGCCGCGGUAAUACGUAGGGCGCAAGCGUUAUCCGGAAUUAUUGGGCGUAAAGAGCUCGUAGGCGGUUUGUCGCGUCUGCUGUGAAAUCCCGAGGCUCAACCUCGGGCCUGCAGUGGGUACGGGCAGACUAGAGUGCGGUAGGGGAGAUUGGAAUUCCUGGUGUAGCGGUGGAAUGCGCAGAUAUCAGGAGGAACACCGAUGGCGAAGGCAGAUCUCUGGGCCGUAACUGACGCUGAGGAGCGAAAGGGUGGGGAGCAAACAGGCUUAGAUACCCUGGUAGUCCACCCCGUAAACGUUGGGAACUAGUUGUGGGGUCCUUUCCACGGAUUCCGUGACGCAGCUAACGCAUUAAGUUCCCCGCCUGGGGAGUACGGCCGCAAGGCUAAAACUCAAAGGAAUUGACGGGGACCCGCACAAGCGGCGGAGCAUGCGGAUUAAUUCGAUGCAACGCGAAGAACCUUACCAAGGCUUGACAUACACGAGAACACCCUAGAAAUAGGGGACUCUUUGGACACUCGUGAACAGGUGGUGCAUGGUUGUCGUCAGCUCGUGUCGUGAGAUGUUGGGGUUAAGUCCCGCAACGAGC
rnacentral:rRNA from 1 species